GGAGGGGGCUAGCGUUGUUCGGAAUGACUGGGCGUAAAGGGCGCGUAGGCGGUUUUUUAAGUAAGGCGUGAAAGCCCUGGGCUUAACCCAGGAGGUGCGUUUUAGACUGAAAAACUUGAGUGCGAGAGAGGAAAGUGGAAUUCCUAGUGUAGAGGUGAAAUUCGUAGAUAUUAGGAAGAACACCCGUGGCGAAGGCGGCUUUCUGGCUCGCAACUGACGCUAAGGCGCGAAAGCGUGGGGAGCAAACGGGAUUAGAUACCCCGGUAGUCCUGGCCGUAAACGAUGGAUACUAGGUGUAGAAGGUAUCGACCCCUUCUGUGCCGGAGUUAACGCAAUAAGUAUCCCGCCUGGGGAGU
rnacentral:rRNA from 1 species